rnacentral:rRNA from 1 species
GUGGGGAAUAUUGGGCAAUGGGCGAAAGCCUGACCCAGCAACGCCGCGUGAAGGAAGAAGGCCUUCGGGUUGUAAACUUCUUUUAUGAGGGACGAAGGACGUGACGGUACCUCAUGAAUAAGCCACGGCUAACUACGUGCCAGCAGCCGCGGUAAUACGUAGGUGGCAAGCGUUGUCCGGAUUUACUGGGUGUAAAGGGCGCGUAGGCGGACUGGCAAGUCAGAUGUGAAAUCCAUGGGCUCAACACAUGAACUGCAUUUGAAACUGUUGGUCUUGAGUGUCGGAGAGGCAAGCGGAAUUCCUAGUGUAGCGGUGAAAUGCGUAGAUAUUAGGAGGAACACCAGUGGCGAAGGCGGCUUGCUGGACGAUAACUGACGCUGAGGCGCGAAAGCGUGGGGAGCAAACAGGAUUAGAUACCCGAGUAGUCC